GCCCCGAGCGGCCUCCAGCCCGGAGAGGCGCCGCCCACCAGUCGACCCUCCCUCGGCGAACUCAGCGCCACCCCCAGGACUGGGGCGCGGACCCGAGCUGCGGACGGAAGGGACCCGCUCUCUCUUGUCGGAUUAGCGGGUGGGGGGAUGCUGGGCCCUCGCCUGACCCCCGCCACUCCGAGUUGGCUAAGCAGGGAUGGGGGAAUGGAACAGAGCCGAGACAUCCCCACCCCCGGGCCGCGGAGUUGGAUGUGGCGGUGGAAUGGGGGACGGCGACUCGGCCCAGGAGUCCAGGUUAUUUAAACGUUAAGUUGAGCUGGGAGACCGUCCCUCCCUCCCCAGACCGCACUCUCAACUCAGGCGCGAGCGUGCAGGUACAACACUGCGGACACAGCUGCCGCGCCUUUACCUGGCCGGGCGCUCACCUGACGGGGCGGUGCGCCGGCCUCUCACCCCACUUCCUGGGGAGGCCACCGCCUCCCCACUCACCCUUGGGCGCGUUCGCGGCGCUGGGACCCGCCUGCACCGCCCAGGGCUGGUGGUUUGCGAGGUGACUGAUGGGUGGAGGUAGGAAAGGAGGAAGCAGGUGUUGGUUUUUUUGUUUUUUUGUUUUUUUUUUAAAGCAAGUCUGCUCCUGCCCUCGGCCGGGCGCCCCACCCCCACCCCUCGGUCCCUCCCUGGUCCCCUGAGCGCCCCCUGCGGAUUCCCGGUCGUACCGCCCGGGUGGAGCCCAUUUCGGGGACCCGCUCCUGCAAGCAUCGGGAUGCGGAGGCCCUGUCCAGAGAAUCCUGCCUACUGGGUGCUUUCAUUCCCGGCUUUCCGGAGAACUUUCCCAAAGAAACACCGGCUGUCGUCGUCCUGACCGCCAGGUUGCGGAGGGGUGGCCCACCUCUGCUUAGAGCCCCAGAGCUACUGCCUGAGGCCUGGCUCUGGGGAGGGUAAAGCCGAACUGGUGAGGGUGCCUCUCAUCGACGGCGGCUCUACCAGUGCCCCCCACCCCGGAGUUUUGCCCUGGAACCAUGCCUCUCUGGCGCCCAAAUGAAUCCGAUCUCUGCCAGACCACAGAAAACCUGAAUUCUAAACCUAGAGGGAAAAACAGCCCGCAGCCUCCCCCAGUCUUGGAUUGUUUUGAGUUCCAAGAGAAGCCUGGUCAGGGAUCCCCGUCUCCACCGCCCUCCCCCGCCCCCCGCCAGGUCCCCCUGCAGUUCUUUGAAGUUCAAAUCCUGAGAAAAGCCAAUAGGCGGCUGGCCGGGUGUCAGACAAUCCAGCUGAGGACAGAAGGCGCCUCCUACUGGGAAUCUGCUGUGUCCAGGACAGAAAUUAGACACCCUGGUGGGACCGCAGUCAAGUUCACUGCCGAACUGCCAAGUGCAUGGGUACACAUCAUCCAAAGGUAUGUAUACCGAUGUCAUCCCACGUGGGUGUUUCCUCCCACUGUUGCUUUUUAACUUGGUGUCCACAAAUAGGCAAAUUUGGGGCUGACCUGUGAUUUGGGGAUGAGGAAAGCAUUGAGGGAAACAGGGAUGAGUCUUCAUGAAUAUAACAAUAACAGCUUAUUCCUCACAUCCUGGCAAUGGACCCAUCAUCAGGUUGCUACUCACUUCCCAGCCCAUUGAAUCCUUAUAAAACAAAAACCCCAGGGAUGUUCUUUGGCUACACCCACUUAAUAGAAGAGAAAGCUGAGGCUUUGGAAAGUGAGGUCAUCAUUUGCCCAAGGUCAUACGGCCGGGAAGUAUCAGCAAUUAGACCCCAGUUGGUUGGCUCCAGGGCCUGUGCUGUCCCAUCUUUGGAAGAAUUCCUUGUCGCUCUGCAUAUACUCUCUCCCCCGAGACAAGGUUCCCUGCUUCUCCCUCUCUUUCAGGAAGGGAAGUCACUUUUAUCUCACUCUACACAGUGACAUAAUUUUUUUACAAGUCUGCCUCCUGCUCUCCUUGAGGUUAGGGACCCCUUCUCCUGGCUCCCUGCAGGUGCUUCAUAAAUACUUGUUGGUUAAAUGAAAGCCCCGAAGAGUAACAUUAUCUUAUUGAAGGGGGAGAACUGUUUGGCAGGCAGGUGGCUAAACAAGUUCACGUUGGAGAGCUGUGUGUAUUCCAUCACAACAUUUAGACACCGAAUUUGGGAACCUUCCAGUCUCUAAAUGGUUGAUGAGAAACAGUCAUGUAGCUCUCAGAUAAGACCCAGAAUCUGGCUUUCCUUUCACUCUGCAAGACCAACUUCAGAGAGGCCCGGACUGGGGAUAAUCAUUUCAGACAGCGGCUCUAGCUCCCACCUGGAGGCAAAGAGCUUCAGUAUUUUUCCAUGCCAAGAUCCAACUCCAGAUCCACCCUGCUCUGCCACAAGUCUAACUGGGCAGGUCUCGUCUAUCUCAGCAAAUCAUCUUCAGAGUGUUUCCCUUUAGGCAGGCUCGCCCUGGCUAAUCUGGGAAGAGGCUGGAGAAAUUCCCAUCGGAAGUGGAGCCACAGGCAAAACUGGAAACGGACAGAGGCGGUGUGUUUCUCCCUCUCCCUCCACCAUGGUGCUUCCUAACUGGUCUCCUGCUUCCAGGCUGUCCCCCUGGAAUGCAUUCUCCAUGCCACACAGUCAGCGUUGUGACGCAGAGACCUGAGCCACGGUUCCCUGCGGACCGCAGCAUUGAGUCUGACACAGGACUUCGUGACUGGGUGGGACCCUCUGAUGUGCCCAGCCUUGUUACUCAUGGCUCCCUCAGGCUCCAGGCCCUGUCACUCUGCCGUGGUCCCUUUUCCAUCAGGGAUCAAACGUUUCCCAGAAGCUCCCCGUAAACUUCCUUGAUAGCUCCCUUGUUGGAACUGGGUCACAUGCUCAUUCCAAAACCCAUGACCAAAACCCGUGACUGGUAUAGACCCUCAGGAGUCCCUGGGGUUAGCACAGAUAUCCGAAUCAGAUGGAGGCUCUGCCAAUAGGAGGAAGAGGCUGGUGCACCCAGCAGGCACCUAGAGGCCCCGCCCCCACCCCAGGUGCAGGGAGCCCGCCAGGUUCCACUGAGGCAGGAAGCCAGCUGCAGAGAGAACUCAAGAGGGAAGCUCCCUGGUUUGCUGUCCGCCUUCCUUCCUUCUUAGUCCUGAGCAGCAUUCCUGUUUUUCCAAUGAGUUUCCUUUCUUCCUUAAACUAGUUUGGUAGGUUUCCAUUUCUUGCAAUGAAAGGCUCUUGAGAGAAACCCUCUGAGGCUCUUGCCAGCGGCUGGGAGAAGUGCCAGAGGCCGGGCAUAGGCGUCCUGAUCCUCUCCUGGUGAAGCGACUGCAUUGAAACCCCCGGCAGCAAACACCGGGGCCCCAUGUGACUUGGAUUCCAGGAAACCCAUUCACUUCCAGGCUAGCCGGUGGAUCUUCUUAUUUCAGGAGUAAACCAGAUUCAGCAGAAAAGCAGAGAUAACGUUUUUGACUUUGAAGAAUCAACACUUUGGGGUUGUAAGAACCUGAGCUCUGAGUUUCAAAAGUGGGAGCCCUGGGCAUAAAAUUUAUGUCACUAACAAAAGGUCUGGGGCUAAACAAGGUCCAACAACCACUUGGCCAGACCCAGUUACCAUCAGGUAUUUCUGAGCGAGGGGGGUCCCUGCAGAGGGGAAGAGGAGAGGGGAAAGGGGUACAAUGAUGUGGAUCUCCAGAGAGGGGAGUGGUGGCCAGUGCAAUGGCCCCGUGCCAGUCUGAGAGUGGGUGUGGGCAGGGGGGAGCCCCAGAGAGUGUCUGCCCCCACCCAGGAUGGUACGGGAGGGGAUGGUCGCAUGGGGGGUGACAGCCCUGCAGCAAUUUGCCUGACCAUGCCAAUGUCCCCUGUAUGCCUCAGAGGAAGGCAGAAGAAGCUGAGAGAAGAAAGAGGGAGAAGCUGGGCGAAGAGAGGGCGUCCAGGAGGCGAGGAGGGCACGUCUGCCAUCCGGAAGACAGAAAUGAGGCCAUGUUGGCAGGUGCCAGAGAACACCAGAUUGCUGCUGGCCCCUGCCCAGGUCUUGGCACUUUGUGAACUCCCUUCACCAAAAAAAAAAAAAAAGAAAGAAAGAAAGA